rnacentral:rRNA from 1 species
CUGAGGUGUAACCUGCCCAGUGGUCUAUAAAUUUUAAAAUUAAACUUUUUUAUAAAUAGACUAAAAGGACGCGGUAACCUUGACCGUGGUAAUGUAGCAUAAUCACUCGCCAUUUAAUUGGUGGAUAGUAUGAAUGGUUGAACGAAUAUUCCCCUGUCUUAGAAGGAAUUAAAGGAAAUUGAAAUAAUAGUUAAGAUGCUAUUUAAAACUGUAAGACGAAAAGACCCUAUAGAGCUUAACUAUAAUCUCUUUAUCAAAUAUAAAAAAUAAUUUAAAAAUUAGAGAGAUUGGUAGUUUAGUUGGGGCGACUGUCUUCUAAAACAAACGAAGACAAGCAAUGUAAUAAAAAACUUAUUGUAUAACUUAAUAGUUUAACAAUUAUAAAAAUAGGCUAUAAUGACCCGUUAACAUUAUAUAAAAAAGUUAACGAUCAAUUAAUAAAAGCUACCUUAGGGAUAACAGGAUAAUUUCAUUUUAGAGUUCCUAUCGAAAAUGAAGUUUGUCACCUCUAUGUUGAAUUAAGAUAUCCUGGUAAUGCAACAGUUACCAAAGGUAGGUCUGUUCG